rnacentral:rRNA from 1 species
UACGUAGGGGGCAAGCGUUGUCCGGAAUCAUUGGGCGUAAAGCGCGCGCAGGCGGUGCGGUAAGUCUCUGGUGAAAGCGCUCGGCUUAACUGGGCGAGGGCCGGGGAGACUGCCACGCUGGAGGGGAGCAGAGGCGAGUGGAAUUCCGGGUGUAGUGGUGAAAUGCGUAGAGAUCCGGAGGAACACCAGUGGCGAAGGCGGCUCGCUGGGCUAUACCUGACGCUGAGGCGCGAAAGCGUGGGGAGCGAACCGG